rnacentral:rRNA from 1 species
AUUGAACGCUGGCGGCAUGCCUUACACAUGCAAGUCGAACGGCAGCACGGGAGCAAUCCUGGUGGCGAGUGGCGAACGGGUGAGUAAAGUAUCGGAACGUGCCCAGUCGUGGGGGAUAACGUAGCGAAAGUUACGCUAAUACCGCAUACGAUCUCUGGAUGAAAGCGGGGGAUCGCAAGACCUCGCGCGAUUGGAGCGGCCGAUAUCAGAUUAGGUAGUUGGUGGGGUGAAGGCUCACCAAGCCGACGAUCUGUAGCUGGUCUGAGAGGACGACCAGCCACACUGGGACUGAGACACGGCCCAGACUCCUACGGGAGGCAGCAGUGGGGAAUUUUGGACAAUGGGCGCAAGCCUGAUCCAGCCAUGCCGCGUGUAGGAUGAAGGCCUUCGGGUUGUAAACUGCUUUUGUACGGAACGAAAAGGUUUGGCUUAAUACGUUGAACUCAUGACGGUAUCGUAAGAAUAAGCACCGGCUAACUACGUGCCAGCCGCCGCAGUAA